rnacentral:rRNA from 1 species
AACGAACGCUGGCGGCAGGCCUAACACAUGCAAGUCGAGCGCGCCCUUCGGGGUGAGCGGCGGACGGGUGAGUAACGCGUGGGAACGUGCCCUUUUCUACGGAAUAGCCUCGGGAAACUGAGAGUAAUACCGUAUACGCCCUUUGGGGGAAAGAUCUAUCGGAAAAGGAUCGGCCCGCGUUGGAUUAGGUAGUUGGUGGGGUAAUGGCCUACCAAGCCGACGAUCCAUAGCUGGUUUGAGAGGAUGAUCAGCCACACUGGGACUGAGACACGGCCCAGACUCCUACGGGAGGCAGCAGUGGGGAAUCUUAGACAAUGGGGGCAACCCUGAUCUAGCCAUGCCGCGUGAGUGAUGAAGGCCUGAGGGUUGUAAAGCUCUUUCAGCUGGGAAGAUAAUGACGGUACCAGCAGAAGAAGCCCCGACUAACUCCGUG